AAAUAGAACUUUGCAGAGAGAGUUAACAGGGCGUGAAACCGUUAAUUGGCAAACGAAUCGGAGCCACGAAGUCGUUUCGUUGACAGUCGAGCUAGGUUCAGUUUGGGAACUAAAAAUUCUCAGGUGUAUUCCUGGUUUGGCCAUCAUUGUAAGCGUACACUGCAACCAGUUAGACAGUUGGUGAUGGAACCAGUUGCUCGCGUUAGUAGUAGCGUGGUAUCUUUCGGGGUACUAUGUUGCUGGAUGCGUUGCAAGUGAGCUAUCACCAAGGACUGACUGGCAAAAUGAUAAUCACUCCGUUGAGUGUUAACAUAAAAUGCGGUUCAUUGUAUAUGGGUCUACUUGCUUGACCAUUUAGUUUAAGCUCAACAUUUUUGAAUUUGGACUUGCUAGCUAUCAGUGGGGCAACUCCUGAUGCUAGUAUAGCUUCCACCUAAUCGGGUGUUGACUUGGCUAGAUGUUGCUCGAGUAAGAAUCGUUUGGGCUCAUAUAUAAGUGGAUUUGCCAUUAUUGGCAGUGAGUAGGUCGGCUUUCCGAACGACCCGUCUUGAAACACGGACCAAGGAGUCUAAUUAGGCAUCGAGUCGAUCGGUCUUGAAUAGGCCAGACUUGGUGGGUUCACCUAAUUGAAGGCGUAGAGACAUGUGAUCGUUGGGUAAUAUCAUAUUCAACGCGCAACAUGUGCCUGUUUGUAUAUCAAUGUGCAAUAUGAUAAGCGGAGCAAAGAGAUGCCUGAUUGGUACCCGAAAGAUGGUGAUGCCUGGGCAAAUUGAAGCCAGAGGAAACUCUGGUGGAGGAUUGUAGCGAUUCUGACGUGCAAAUCGAUCGUCAGACCUGGGUAUAGGGGCGAAAGACUAAUCGAACCAUC
rnacentral:rRNA from 1 species